ACAUAUGCAAAGACUAGGGUUGUAGACAGAGCUCCACUUCUCAAAUCUAAGCCCUUCCACGGUGAGAACCAUCCUCAAACCAGAGGAUCCAGCAUACACACAGUUCAGAGCAAGCCCACCAACAUCAGGGUGAUGGAGACCCAGAGACCCAGAGGAGUACCAGCCUCCUAGAAAUCAACCCAUUCAGCUCACAAAAUAUGUUCUCGCUUGCCUUGGGGACCUGGCAGUCCCACCUAUUCCUUCCACCCAGCAUCUAGCCCAUGGCUUCUCCACUGAUAGACCAAGAACCAAUUGGGGAACAGGACCUUACCAUCGGAAUCACCCCUACAGUGAGAAGUUCUCCAACACCACCGGGACAUACUGUGCUGCCACAAACCACGAACCUGUGAGCAAGUUGGAACAGGCAGCCAAGACAAAGCUUUCAGAUUGGUCCCAGAUACUUGGCACAGUAAAGGAAAGGAGGAAGGAGAGCUGGUUUUCUUCAGGAACGCAGCGUCUGACCCCUUACUCCAGGAGGUAGUCCUACACCCUUGGUACCACAGGCUGAGCACUAACUGGAUUUGGGAUUUGGGGGAUUUUAAGAGCCCAUAAAGUUGAAAAUGA